GAUGGGUCAUGCAUGUAACAGUAAUGAUGAGCCACCACAUUCAUUCCAUGGAGGUUUUCUGGAUCACCAGAUCGAUGGUAAUUAAGAUUUAUUCUAUUUCAUUGUAUUUCAUAUUGUAUGUAUAUAAAAAAUUAUUUUGACUAAUAUUUAUUUUAUGCAACGGUGCCUCCAAAACGAAGAGGCCUGACAGUAAACAAAAAAAUGUACAAGUUAUUUGCAGCUAACGACAAUUUUCCUUUGAUGAUAAUAUUUGACCUAAAUACUCACAUUCCAAUUUGGAAGUAUACAAAUGUUUCAUUCGGGAGGUUGGGAGCUAUAUGUGGCGCGACAUCGGUUUCGAUAAGGACACAUGGAAAGAAGUUUCUGAAGCUGAAAGGGUUGACAUGUUCGAGUAUCUUUCGACGUGGUUAAAUUUUGGAGCAUUUUCAAAUGAUCCCAUGGCUUCAGUUUAUUGGGCGUCACUGAAUAAUCGGAUAUGUGCGCGGUAUAGAAGCCGCAAAAAUAUUGCAAAUCGUUUUACUGGUUUUGAAGGGGAUGUGGAGGCAGCAAGGGCUCAGGCCCCUGGGGUAUGGAUCUACAGUGUUGGAGUGAUGCUAUUGACCACUUCGUAACAAAAAGCAUCAAAAACGAUCCAAUGAAAAGAAAGAAUGUCGGAAGAAGCAAGUAGUUAAGAAUCGUGGACGAACCUGCAGCCACAGUAGUGCUUGUUUUAUGAACAUAAGUUACAAUAAUGCUUAUUCAGUUAUAACAUAUUUUUUAAUGUUUAUUCAAGUAUAACAUAUUUUGUAAUGUUAAACAGAUUUUGUAUAGACUUGAAGCAUUUCAUCGUGGGCAUGUGAAUAAAAAAGGGGAAUUUGUUGAUCCUUUGGUUGAAGACCAAUAUACUCAUCACAUAGCGACUCUGGUGGUGAUCCAGACUCCAUUGAUUGGAUCGCAAUAUUUGAGAAGGUGUUAGGUGCUCAAAGGGGGCAUGUGAGAGGCAUUAGGCUUAAACCUCCUUCUACAACGGAUACAAGUGUUCCAUCCCAAUGGCAGUCACAAUCACAAGUACCACAAUCAACACAGGAUGUUGAUGUGAAUGUUUUUCUUCAAAACCCGGCGUUUGUGACGACAAUUGGAGAUAUUAUCCGCUUGUUUAUAAACAAAGUCAACAACGAGGAAAACAACAAUGGGGAAGACGAAGACACACAUUAUUUCUUGUUUUAUGUUAUGGAUGAUGUUAUUUUUGAUUUAUUAGAUAGUUUAUGUAAUGUGGUAUAUUUGAUGUUUUAUGUAAUGUGGUAUGUAUUUUUAUCAAAUUUGCAUUUUAUAAUAUAUAUAUAAAAAAACUAA